rnacentral:SRP_RNA from 1 species
AUAAAAAAGCCACAAGAACAAUAACCUAGUAACCUGGUCAGGAUAGAGAUAUAGCAGCCAAAUCAAGAAGUGUUGUGUCGUGUGGUCUUUUUUUAUUCA